CAGGGUUACACCAGAUCGGCUACUCCACGGUUUGAGCUGGGAGUGUUGAUUUAUGCAACACAGGCUUCUACUGCUGUAAAGCUGUGAGGACACACAUCAGCUUUCUUUGAAGCUCCGCGGAGGAGAGAACUAACAGAUAACAAUGUCGGCUCCAGCGAAAAUCACAGGAGAUUGUGUUGACCUCCUGGAGGGGCCAGCCACCGCCUGGAAACGAAUUGACACCUGGAGCCACCGGCGGCGGCUGCGGCUCUGUGGGAACGCGUCUGAUAAAAGGAGCAUUUACAGAACA